UGGGGGAUAACUAGUCGAAAGAUUAGCUAAUACCGCAUACGACCUGAGGGUGAAAGUGGGGGACCGCAAGGCCUCAUGCUAUAGGAGCGGCCGAUGUCUGAUUAGCUAGUUGGUGAGGUAAAGGCUCACCAAGGCGACGAUCAGUAGCUGGUCUGAGAGGACGAUCAGCCACACUGGGACUGAGACACGGCCCAGACUCCUACGGGAGGCAGCAGUGGGGAAUUUUGGACAAUGGGCGAAAGCCUGAUCCAGCAAUGCCGCGUGUGUGAAGAAGGCCUUCGGGUUGUAAAGCACUUUUGUCCGGAAAGAAAUGGCUCUGGUUAAUACCUGGGGUCGAUGACGGUACCGGAAGAAUAAGGACCGGCUAACUACGUGCCAGCAGCCGCGGUAAUACGUAGGGUCCAAGCGUUAAUCGGAAUUACUGGGCGUAAAGCGUGCGCAGGCGGUUGUGCAAGACCGAUGUGAAAUCCCCGAGCUUAACUUGGGAAUUGCAUUGGUGACUGCACGGCUAGAAUGUGUCAGAGGGGGGUAGAAUUCCACGUGUAGCAGUGAAAUGCGUAGAGAUGUGGAGGAAUACCGAUGGCGAAGGCAGCCCCCUGGGAUAACACUGACGCUCAUGCACGAAAGCGUG
rnacentral:rRNA from 1 species